CUCCGAUUGGAGGAUGAGCUGAAAAGAAGAGGAGAGGAGGAAGCUGUUUUCGAUUCGGAGAAGCCGCACUUCUCAUGCGGUCAAGUUCAGAAGACCUAAGCCUGUCUCAGAGUCUAAAGUAGUCUUCCUUCUGCCGCCCAUCCUGAACUUCUCCUACCCUCCUGUAUGCCUCCACUGAGCCAUUUCUGAAGGACUGCACCUCCCCACCCCCAUUUCGGGCUCAUCUUUGGGCUCAGCCAGUGGGAAGCAAAGAGACCAAAACAGUCACCUGGAAGGAGAAAAUGCUUGGAGAAUUUCUUCCCUCCUGCCCCACAUGCAGUGCCAAGUCUUCGGCUGUAGCAGGGCCCUUCUGCGAUGGUAACAGCAAUACACUCAGAUGCGGUGAGGAAGGGCGGCUGUGGAUCCUGAGGCAACAGUUUAUCAUCAUUAGCAGAGAGUGAUCUGCGUGUGCCUGUCUGCUUCGGUACACCUCAUGGACAUUUGCCCAGCACCUGUUAUGCCCUGAAUGAAAUGAAAUGAAGACCCGGAGACAGCAGAUCUGGGGGCUGCAUUUACCAACUUGAGACUCACGAUGAUGUAUGUUGCCUGUCAAAUGAUCGCUGGACCAUCAUGUAUCUUUUGGUAGAAUGUAAAUAUAUAUUUGUGAUAGCUAAUGUUUAUUGUCUAUUAAAUAU